GACGAACGCUGGCGGCGUGCCUAAUACAUGCAAGUCGAACGAACCGCGACUAAGUGCUUGCACUAAGUCAAGGUGAGUGGCGAACGGGUGAGUAACACGUGGGUAACCUACCUCAUAGUGGGGGAUAACAGUCGGAAACGACUGCUAAUACCGCAUAGGACAUAGGAUCACAUGAUCCAGUGAGGAAAGGUGGCGCAAGCUAUCGCUAAGAGAUGGACCCGCGGUGCAUUAGCUAGUUGGUAGGGUAAAGGCCUACCAAGGCGAUGAUGCAUAGCCGACCUGAGAGGGUGAUCGGCCACAUUGGGACUGAGACACGGCCCAAACUCCUACGGGAGGCAGCAGUAGGGAAUCUUCCGCAAUGGACGCAAGUCUGACGGAGCAACGCCGCGUGAGUGAAGAAGGUCUUCGGAUCGUAAAGCUCUGUUGUUAGAGAAGAACAGCGCAUAGAGUAACUGCUAUGCGUGUGACGGGAUCUAACCAGAAAGCCACGGCUAACUACG
rnacentral:rRNA from 1 species